rnacentral:lncRNA from 1 species
GACUCACAUGGUGGCAGUCUGAAAAUGGCCAUGCACUUUGCUCCUCCCAUAGAGAGAUGGAGCAUGGUUUUCUAUCCUUGGACCACUCUAGGCCCUAGGGACCUGGCUGGAACACAGAAGUGACAUUCUCAGCUUUCCAAGUAGUGUUAUUCUGAGCCUCACAGCUGCUUCCCGGUCUCUGAGAAAACUCACAUUUGGGAGUCUUGCCUGUAGGAAAGCGGGUGCCGUGUCUUCUGCGCUCAAUGAGAAGCACAAGCCUGUGAGAGGCCCCGAGGACAGACACAGCUGAAACGGCACCACCAAUGGCACCAAGCCAGGGUCGUGUGACCAGGAAGCCCUGCCAACCCAACUGCUGGAGACAGACCUCCUUGGAACCACUCCCCAGUGUCAAGUACAAAGCUAACCAAACUGAAGAUGUGGCCCCCUGUCUACCUGGAGUGCCUACAUGCUUGACUCUGAAGCAAAAGAACCAGAGCUGCAGCCUAGACUCCAGCAGUGCGCAGAGAAGUAACCUGGAAGUCCGGGAGCUGAGUGUUAACAGAAUGCCAGAGCACCAGCCUCCAGCCCUCUAAAUGCCAUGCUUCCAGGGAGUGCAGCCAGGGAAAGUUCAAGGUAAUAAUAUCAGGACUCGCUCACUCCCUUUCUUUUGACAUUUUACUGCAAAGCGAGAUCAGAUGGGUAUAUUUAGUUCCUUUUGUUGGUGAACGUUUCAAAGGUGCUUCUGUGUGGCUCUCAUUAGCAUCAGGUAUGCAAAUGGGGAACCUGCUCCUUCUCCUGCUGAAUCAUGCCAUAGUCUGACAGGUGACGACAUAUCCCUCUUUUGGACAGAGAACCUUCUUGUGGGGCUCCUAUUUUGAGUUCUGGAACUUGGUUCGAGCAGAAGCAUACCCCCUGCUAUGCUGGGCUUCAGAAGAGAACGCCCCACUUCUAACUCUCAGUGAACGCUUGCCGGCUGUCAUCUUUGUAAGAUCGCCACAACCCACGUAUGGGAACCAAUCAUGGCUGUAGUCGCAGGCGGUUAACAUUUCUGGGAGCCAAUUGAAAUGCUCUGCUCAGUCACAUGACUCCUCUGGUAGCCAAUGAAAACCUUCUCAACCAUGUGACACUGAGAGUCAAUGAAAGUUAUCGUCUUGGUCAUAUGUCACUUCCAUGCCCCGAUGGCAGCUGUCUUCUCCGUUACAUGCCCUCCUUGGGACCACUGGCAAGCUUGGUUCUAGUUCAGGAAGCUUUUCUGAGGAGCUCAAGCUAUGGAAUAUGUCUCUACUGCAUCUGCUGCCUUCCCCCCCCCCCCCUGCCCCCGGACUACAGUGUUACUCAUGUAGCAUGGACAGCCUUUGCUCCUAGCAGUGUGGCUCCCUGAGAACUGGGUCAUGCUGGCUCCCAACUGGCAGGUAGCAUAUGCUUCAGGCCCCCCUGAGGUACCUCUGUCUGCUUGUUGUCUCUGUGGCUUUGUUAUCAUUUUUAAUGCAUGCUCCUUGGAGAAUUACCUUGCUCGGCUUCACGCUGAGCUCCUGGUGUCCUCACAGAGGAGCACAGAAGCUUCCGUCAGACUGUCUGUCGCUGCCAAUCAGAGCCACUGGAAGUAUGUCAGAGGUUCCAGCCUCCAUCUUCACACACUGCAUCUGUCCUGUGCUGGCUGGGCAGGUGGGUGGGGCUUCCUCCAAAUGAGACCUGCUGAGCAUCUCCUGAGUAGGGAAUAGUGCCCUGGGACCUGGGGCUUAGUGGCAAAAGGAGAAAUGAGGUCAUCUUCUGUUCAGCCUGAACUCUAGGGGCCAUACCACUGACAGCGAGCCCACAGCAGCUAAUUAGUGCAAAAUGCACCCGCAGAAGAGAAGACGGGUACUCCUGGUGUGUGCAUCUUGAUUGACAACUUGAUGGGAUUUAGCCUCAACAUGGAAACAAUCUCAGGCCAUGUCUAUGACGUAUCAUCUCUACACUAGGGUUAAUUAGUGAGGGAAGAUCAUCCUAAAUGUUGGCUGCAUAAAAACAAAAAGGGCGGAGAGCUGUCUGUCAUUGCUCUCUACUUCCUGACUGUGGAUGCAGUAUUUCCCCACAAUGACGGACCAUACCCUGAGACUGUGAACCAAAAUAGACCCUUCUUCCUGAGGUUGUUUGCAUCCAUUAGAAAAGCAGCAAGUAUGGUCUGCCGAUGUUCUGGAGUGAUGCUUUGCAGGGAACGGUCAUUUUCACCUCUCAUUGCCAUGCCAGCGUCUCCUGGGGCUCCGUGUGCAGAUGGCAAAGAGUAAUUACUAAAGAACUACAUGCCACAUUCAUUGGGAGCAGGAGGUGUGGCCUUGUUGGAAUGGGCGUGGCCUUGUUGGAAUGGGCGUGGCCUUGUUGGAAUGGGCGUGGCCUUGUUGGAAUGGGCGUGGCCUUGCUGAAGAAUGUAUGUCACUGUGUAGGUAGCCAUUGAGAUUUCCUAGGGCAGAAGAGGCAGUUUUUAUCCUGGUGGCCUUCAGAUCAAGACAUAGAACUCUUGGUUCCAUCUAGAGCACCAUGCCUGCCUGGACGCUGCCAUGCUUCCUGCCAUGCUGAUAAUGGACUGAACCUCUGAAUCUGUAAGCCAGCCCCAGCUAAACGUUGUUCUUUAUAAAAGUUUCCUUGGUCAUGGUGUCUCUUUGCAGAAAUAAAACCCUAACAACGAAAUCUACCC